rnacentral:rRNA from 1 species
CCUACGGGUGGCUGCAGUGGGGAAUAUUGGGCAAUGGGCGCAAGCCUGACCCAGCAACGCCGCGUGAAGGAAGACUGCUCUCGGGUUGUAAACUUCUUUUUUCAGAGAAGAGUAGAAAACGGUACCUGACGAAUAAGCCACGGCUAACUACGUGCCAGCAGCCGCGGUAAUACGUAGGUGGCAAGCGUUGUCCGGAUGUACUGGGUGUAAAGGGCGUGUAGCCGGGUUGACAAGUCAGAUGUGAAAUCCUGCGGCUUAACCGCAGAACUGCAAUUGAAACUGGUGAUCUUGAGUACUGGAGAGGCAGACGGAAUUCCUAGUGUAGCGGUGAAAUGCGUAGAUAUUAGGAGGAACACCAGUGGCGAAGGCGGUUUGCUGGACAGCAACUGACGGUGAGGCGCGAAAGCGUGGGGAGCAAACAGGAUUAGAUACCCGAGUAGUC